rnacentral:rRNA from 1 species
AGCCAAUUGCGAUAAGCAUUGUGAAUUGCACACUCCUGCGAAUCAAUAGACCUCUGAACGUAGCCAAUUUCGAUAAGCAUUAUGAAUUGCAGACUUCUGCGAAUUAACAGACCUCUGAACGUAACAAACACGCCGCCUCUGCUUGCACGCGGCACUCCCAUUUCAGUGAGCUUUAACUCCUAACGGCACACCCGUUUUCCAGGUGCUGGCCGUUGCGACUGGGCGUCCUUCCCGGCGCCUUAAUUUCCAACGGGACGCGCCGCGCAGCCUCGCCGAGACGUCUCGGAGUGCCUUGAUGUAUUCGUACUCUGGCUCCGAUGUGAUGUCCUCUCGGGUUCCCGCGAGUGGUUGAGGGUGUCGGUAGCGUGUCGCUUUUCUCUUCCCUCCUGAAAUUGGGUGAGGCCAUCCGCUGAAUUUAAGCAUAUAACUAAGCGGCAGAAAAGAAAAUAACUAUGAUUCUCCUAGUAA